GAAUAGAUAAAUUUUUUAUGUUUUAAUAAUUUUAUUAUAAAUUUGUUUUACAUAUAAAUUUUAGUAAAAGAUUUUAAUUAUUUUGAUAAUAAUUAAUUAUUUAAGUAGUAAUUAAUAUUAAAAAUUUAAGAAAUUAAGAUUUAGCGAUAUUAAAAUUAAUAACUAAUUUUGUGCCAGCAGUUGCGGUUAUACAAAAAUUAAAUUGAAUUAUUUCAGUUUAUAAUAAAUAAUUUUAAUUAAAGUAAAUAUUAAAUUAUUAAGUGAAAUUUUAAUUUAAUUGAAUUUUAUUUUUAAAUUAUUAUUUUAAUAAAUUUUAAUAUAAACUAGGAUUAGAUACCCUAUUAUUAAAAAAUUAAUUUAUAAUACUAAAAUAGUAAAUAAUUAUUUAUUGAAACUUGAAUAAUAUGGCGGUAUUUUAGUUCAUUUAGAGGAAUCUGUCUAAUAAUUGAUAAUCCACGAAUAAAUUUACUUAAUUUAAUAUUUUGUAUAUCAUUGUUAAAAAAAUAUUUUUAAAUAAAAAUAAUAUUUAAAUUUUAAAAUAAAAAAUUAAUUCAGAUCAUGAUGCAGAUUAUAAUUAAGAAUAUGAUGGAUUACAAUAAAUAUAUUUAAAUGGAUAAUAUUAUUGAAAAUUAUAUUUUAAAGUGGAUUUAAAUGUAAUUUUAAUUAGUUUAUUAAAAUGAUUAAAAAUUAAAAUAUGUACAUAUUGCCCGUCACUUUCAUUUAAAAAUUGAAAUAAGUCGUAACAAAGUAGAUGUACUGGAAAGUGUGCCUAGAAAGAA
rnacentral:ncRNA from 1 species